GCAUAUCAAUAAGCGGAGGAAAAGAAACUAACAAGGAUUCCCCUAGUAGCGGCGAGCGAAGCGGGAAGAGCUCAAAUUUGUAAUCUGGCGCUUUCAGCGUCCGAGUUGUAAUCUCUAGAAAUGUUUUCCGCGUUGCACCGCACACAAGUCUGUUGGAAUACAGCGGCACAGUGGUGAGACCCCCGUUCAUGGUGCGGAUGCGCAAUGCUUUGUGAUACAUUUUCGAAGAGUCGAGUUGUUUGGGAAUGCAGCUCAAAUUGGGUGGUAAAUUCCAUCUAAAGCUAAAUAUUGGCGAGAGACCGAUAGCGAACAAGUACCGUGAGGGAAAGAUGAAAAGCACUUUGGAAAGAGAGUUAACAGUACGUGAAAUUGUUGGAAGGGAAACGCUUGAAGUCAGACUUGCUGUUCGGAGUUCAGCCGCAAGGUGUACUCUCCGAGUUGCAGGCCAGCAUCAGUUUUUCGGGGUGGAAAAUCACGGUUUGAAGGUAGCAGUUUCGGCUGUGUUAUAGCUUUCCGUUGGAUACAUCCUGGGGGACUGAGGAACGCAGUGUGCUUUUAGCAGGGGUUUCGACCUCUUCACACUUAGGAUGGCUGUCAGCA
rnacentral:rRNA from 1 species